rnacentral:rRNA from 1 species
UGGGGAAUAUUGGACAAUGGGCGAAAGCCUGAUCCAGCCAUGCCGCGUGUGUGAAGAAGGUCUUCGGAUUGUAAAGCACUUUAAGUUGGGAGGAAGGGCAGUAAGCGAAUACCUUGCUGUUUUGACGUUACCGACAGAAUAAGCACCGGCUAACUCUGUGCCAGCAGCCGCGGUAAUACAGAGGGUGCAAGCGUUAAUCGGAAUUACUGGGCGUAAAGCGCGCGUAGGUGGUUCGUUAAGUUGAAUGUGAAAGCCCCGGGCUCAACCUGGGAACUGCAUCCAAAACUGGCGGGGUAGAGGAGGGGAGGGGGUGGUGGGAAUUCCUGUGUAGCGGUGAAAUGCGUAGGUAUAGGGAGGAACACCAGUGGCGGAGGCGACCACCUGGGCUCAUACUGACACUGGGGUGCGAAAGCGUGGGGAGCAAACAGG